rnacentral:rRNA from 1 species
UACGAAGGGGCUAGCGUUGCUCGGAAUUACUGGGCGUAAAGGGCGCGUAGGCGGACAGUUAAGUCAGAGGUGAAAGCCCAGGGCUCAACCCUGGAAUUGCCUUUGAUACUGGCUGUCUUGAGUGCGGGAGAGGUGUGUGGAACUCCGAGUGUAGAGGUGAAAUUCGUAGAUAUUCGGAAGAACACCGAUGGCGAAGGCAGCCAUCUGGACCGACACUGACGCUGAGGCGCGAAAGCGUGGGGAGCAAACAGG